CCUACGGGUGGCUGCAGUGGGGAAUAUUGGACAAUGGGGGCAACCCUGAUCCAGCCAUGCCGCGUGUGUGAAGAAGGCCCUCGGGUUGUAAAGCACUUUCAGUGAGGAAGAACGCCUGGUGGUUAAUACCCAUCAGGAAAGACAUCACUCACAGAAGAAGCACCGGCUAACUCCGUGCCAGCAGCCGCGGUAAUACGGAGGGUGCGAGCGUUAAUCGGAAUUACUGGGCGUAAAGCGCGCGUAGGUGGCUUGAUAAGCCGGUUGUGAAAGCCCCGGGCUCAACCUGGGGACGGCAUCCGGAACUGUCAAGGUAGAGUGCAGGAGAGGAAGGUAGAAUUCCCGGUGUAGCGGUGAAAUGCGUAGAGAUCGGGAGGAAUACCAGUGGCGAAGGCGGCCUUCUGGACUGACACUGACACUGAGGUGCGAAAGCGUGGGUAGCAAACAGGAUUAGAUACCCCGGUAGUC
rnacentral:rRNA from 1 species